GAUCCUGGCUCAGGACGAACGCUGGCGGCGUGCCUAACACAUGCAAGUCGAACGGAGUAAGGCCCCUUCGGGACUUUACUUAGUGGCGAACGGGUGAGUAACGCGUAAGGAACCUGCCUUUCAGUGGGGGACGAACAGUUGGAAACGACUGCUAAUACCGCAUGACGCUUCUUGGGGGCAUCCCUGGGAAGUCAAAGAUUUAUUGCUGAAAGAUGGCCUCGCGUCUGAUUAGCUAGUUGGCGGGGUAACGGCCCACCAAGGCG
rnacentral:rRNA from 1 species